AUUGAACGCUGGCGGCAUGCUUUACACAUGCAAGUCGAACGGUAACAGGCCGCAAGGUGCUGACGAGUGGCGAACGGGUGAGUAAUGCAUCGGAACGUGCCCAGUCGUGGGGGAUAACUACUCGAAAGAGUAGCUAAUACCGCAUACGAUCUAUGGAUGAAAGCGGGGGACCGUAAGGCCUCGCGCGAUUGGAGCGGCCGAUGUCAGAUUAGGUAGUUGGUGGGGUAAAGGCUCACCAAGCCAACGAUCUGUAGCUGGUCUGAGAGGACGACCAGCCACACUGGGACUGAGACACGGCCCAGACGCCUACGGGAGGCAGCAGUGGGGAAUUUUGGACAAUGGGCGCAAGCCUGAUCCAGCAAUGCCGCGUGCAGGAAGAAGGCCUUCGGGUUGUAAACUGCUUUUGUACGGAACGAAACGGCUCUGGUUAAUACCCGGGGCUAAUGACGGUACCGUAAGAAUAAGCACCGGCUAACUACGUG
rnacentral:rRNA from 1 species